CUCUUGGAACACUUCAAGUAACCUCUGCCCUAUGAAUAGUUUAAAUGGCCGCAGUAAUUUGACUGUGCAAAGGUAGCAUAAUCACUUGUUUCUUAAUUAGARACUGGAAUGAAAGAGGCAACGAAAUAAAAACUUUUGGGUUGAAAUAUUAAAUUGACAUGUAGGUUAAAAGGCCUAAAUAUAUCAAAGGGACGAUAAGACCCUAUAAAACUUUACUUUUUAGUAAGUUCUGUGAGGAUGGGGUACAUAUAAGAGUUUAGCUGGGGCGGCAUUAAUAUAAACAAUUAUAAWUAUUAAUAUACUAAAUAAUAUGAAAGAACUUUUAUAUAAAAUAAAACAAGUUACUUUAGGGAUAACAGCGUAAUUCUCUCAGAGAGUUCUAAUUGACGAGAGAGCUUACGACCUCGAUGUUGAAUUGGGGCGUCUUGUGUAGGCAAAAGGACACAAAGAUAGUCUGUUCGACUAUUAAAUCCCC
rnacentral:rRNA from 1 species